UACAGAGGGUGCGAGCGUUGUCCGGAAUCACUGGGCGUAAAGGGCGCGUAGGUGGCGACCCAAGUCCAUGGUGAAAGCUCGAUGCUCAACAUCGAGUCGGCCACGGAUACUGGGUUGCUGGAGCACUGUAGAGGCAGAUGGAAUUCCGGGUGUAGCGGUGGAAUGCGUAGAGAUCCGGAAGAACACCGGUGGCGAAGGCGGCAUUCUGGACCGACAUUGACGCUGAGGAGCGAAAGCCAGGGGAGCAAACGGG
rnacentral:rRNA from 1 species